rnacentral:rRNA from 1 species
AUUGAACGCUGGCGGCAGGCCUAACACAUGCAAGUCGAACGCGUGGCGGACGGGUGAGUAAUGUCUGGGAAACUGCCUGAUUGAGGGGGAUAACUACUUGACAAGGUAGCUAUUACCGCAUACCAUCGGAUGUGCCGAGAUGGGAUUGGCUAGUAGGUGGGGUAAAGGCUCACCUAGGCGACGAUCCGUAGCUGGGCUGAGAGGAGGAACAGGCACACUGGAACGGAGACACGGUACAGACUCCAACGGGAGGCAGGAGAGGAGAAUAUAGCACAAUGGGCGCAAGGCGGAUGCAGCCAUGCCGAGUAGGUGAAGAAGGGCUUCGUGUUGUAAAGCAAUUUCAGCGAGAAGGCGUUAUUAGAUGAAUAAGCACCGGCUAACUCCGUGCCAGCAGCCGCGGUAAUAC